GGGCUCACCUCAGAGCCCAGGGGUGGAACAAAGGACAAGCCCGCUCCAAUUUAGAGUCUGAGAAGAUGCUCAGAGAGGUUUAACAACUUACCCUAAGUCACAUGGCAUAGUGAUGGAACCAAGAAUCAAACAGAGAGCACCAGUAACGGGAAGUGUUUGCUUCUGCAUGUCGGUGAACAUGGGGCACA